rnacentral:rRNA from 1 species
GUGCGUAACACGUAUGCAACCUACCUUCCAGAGGGGAAUAGUCGCGGGAAACUGCGAAUAAUACCCCGUACGAUCGCGAAGUCGCAUGGCUUUGCGAGGAAAGCUCCGGUGCUGGAAGAUGGGCAUGCGUUCCAUUAGCUAGUUGGUGAGGUAACGGCUCACCAAGGCGACGAUGGAUAGCUGGUCUGAGAGGAUGAUCAGCCACACGGGAACUGAGACACGGUCCCGACUCCUACGGGAGGCAGCAGUGAGGAAUCUUGGUCAAUGGGGGCAACCCUGAACCAGCCAUGCCGCGUGGAGGAUGACGGCCCUCUGGGUUGUAAACUUCUUUAGCUAGGGACUAAUUGCGUGCUAUAGGCACGCUUGCAGGUACCUAGAGAAUAAGCGCCGGCUAACUACGUGCCAGCAGCCGCGGUAAUACGUAGGGCGCGAGCGUUGUCCGGAUUUACUGGGUUUAAAGGGUGCGUAGGCGGAUAGAUAAGUUCGUGGUGAAAUCGUUCGGCUUAACCGGAUAUCCGCCAUGGAUACUGUUUAUCUUGAGUGUGGUUGAGGAAGUUAGAAUGCGUGGUGUAGCGGUGAAAUGCAUAGAUAUCACGCAGAAUACCAAUUGCGAAGGCAGACUUCUGGGCCAUUACUGACGCUGAGGCACGAAAGCGUGGGGAGCGAACAGGAUUAGAUACCCUGGUAGUCCACGCUGUAAACGAUGAUCACUAGGUGUUCGGUCAUACGGCUGAGUGCCCAAGCGAAAGCGAUAAGUGAUCCACCUGGGGAGUACGUUCGCAAGAAUGAAACUCAAAGGAAUUGACGGGGGCCCGCACAAGCGGUGGAGCAUGUGGUUUAAUUCGAUGAUACGCGAGGAACCUUACCUGGGCUACAAUGCCUCUGAUCGGCGCCGAAAGGUGUUUUCUCUUCGGAGCAGAGUGCAAGGUGCUGCAUGGUUGUCGUCAGCUCGUGCCGUGAGGUGUUGGGUUAAGUCCCGCAACGAG